CCUACGGGUGGCAGCAGUAGGGAAUAUUGCUCAAUGGGGGAAACCCUGAAGCAGCAAAGCCGCGUGGGGGAAGAAGGUAUUAGGAAUGUAAACCCCUUUUGUGAGGGAAGAAAAUGACGGUACCUGACGAAUAAGCACCGGCUAACUACGUGCCAGCAGCCGCGGUAAUACGGAGGGGGCAAGCGUUACACGGAGUUACUGGGCGUAAAGGGGGCGUAGGCGGGCCUGUAAGUCCGACGUGAAAGCCUGUAGCUUAACUACAGUACUGCAGUUGAAACUGUCGGGCUAGAGUGGGGGAGAGGUAGGUGGAAUUCUUGGUGUAGCGGUGAAAUGCGUAGAUAUCAAGAGGAAUACUGAUUGCGAAGGCGGCCUACUGGAACAUUACUGACGCUGAGGCACGAAAGCGUGGGGAGCAAACAGGAUUAGAUACCCGGGUAGUC
rnacentral:rRNA from 1 species